CAGCCGCCACGGGAAUACGUAGGUGGCAAGCGUUGUCCGGAAUUAUUGGGCGUAAAGGGCUCGCAGGCGGUUUCUUAAGUCUGACGUGAAAGCCCCCGGCUCAACCGGGGAGGGUCAUUGGAAACUGGGAAACUUGAGUGCAGAAGAGGAGAGUGGAAUUCCACGUGUAGCGGUGAAAUGCGUAGAGAUGUGGAGGAACACCAGUGGCGAAGGCGACUCUCUGGUCUGUAACUGACGCUGAGGAGCGAAAGCGUGGGGAGCGAACAGGAUUAGAUACCCGUGUAGUCCCUUCUCUUAUACA
rnacentral:rRNA from 1 species